rnacentral:tRNA from 1 species
AUUAAAAUAGCAAAAAGUAAAUGCAGAGGACUUAAGAUCCUCUAAUAAAGGUUAAAAUCCUUUUUUUAGUG